CGCCGCCAUAUUAGAAAGAAAAUGGCUGAAGGCUGAAAAAGACUCUUGUCGCUGCAAGUUUUUCACAUUUUAUUAACAAUUCAGCGGGCGAACCUUCUUCAAAGAUAGCGAGAAAGAUGUACAGCCACACCAACCCAUGCAUCGAGGACCAAGAACCCGUCCAAGAAUUAACCAAGAGGCAUAAUCACUACUCAUCAUGGGAGUGUAAAGACCAACAAAUGGUCUAAAUUCAAGAUAGAUGUACAGGCACACCAACCCAUGCAUCCACCAAGAACCCGUCCAAGUAACCAAGAGGCAUUAUCACCACUCAUCAUGGGAGAUAAAGACGAACAAAUGGUCUAAAUUCAAGGCUUCAUCUGGAGGCGAUCUCUCUGUCACCUUAUUGAUCCAAGCCUCGACCUCUCUAGUUGCUCCUGAGUUGGAGGUUGCCCUGCUGCUACCACUUCAUCAUCACCGGGACAUCAAAACAAAUUGAUACAACUGCUGACUACCCCUUGUGACGUUGU